rnacentral:rRNA from 1 species
CCUACGGGAGGCAGCAGUGGGGAAUUUUGGACAAUGGGGGCAACCCUGAUCCAACAAUGCCGCGUGUGUGAAGAAGGCCUUCGGGUUGUAAAGCACUUUUGUUCGGAAAGAAAUCUCCUGGGCUAAUACCCCGGGGGGAUGACGGUACCGGAAGAAUAAGCACCGGCUAACUACGUGCCAGCAGCCGCGGUAAUACGUAGGGUGCGAGCGUUAAUCGGAAUUACUGGGCGUAAAGCGUGCGCAGGCGGUUGUGCAAGACAGAUGUGAAAUCCCCGGGCUUAACCUGGGAACUGCAUUUGUGACUGCACGGCUAGAGUGUGUCAGAGGGGGGUAGAAUUCCACGUGUAGCAGUGAAAUGCGUAGAUAUGUGGAGGAAUACCGAUGGCGAAGGCAGCCCCCUGGGAUAACACUGACGCUCAUGCACGAAAGCGUGGGGAGCAAACAGGAUUAGAUACCCUGGUAGUCCACGCCCUAAACGAUGUCAACUAGUUGUCGGGUCUUAAUUGACUUGGUAACGCAGCUAACGCGUGAAGUUGACCGCCUGGGGAGUACGGUCGCAAGAUUAAAACUCAAAGGAAUUGACGG